CCGACAUCCCUUCACCUCUCUCCUCUGGAGCUGUGAUUCGCUGCAAAGUUUUUAUUGACAAACUUUCCAGAAUUCAGAUAUUUCAUAAUUCCAUUAAGCUUGACUUAGAUGGGCUUGCCAGGCUUCGAGUCCGUGCCUUUGAUAGUGAAGGUAGUUUUUGAAAUGCUAAUGAUCACGAGAUGUUUGGGGCCAUUGAAUUCUCAAUUUCAUUUCUUGGUAGUGCACUCAUUGUUUAUGCUCUUUUUUGAGAGGCAGAGGUCGUCGCCACUCUCUGUGUGUGUUUCACUAACUGAGCUUCUUGAGAGGCAGAGGUAGUCGGCAGGCGAUCUAACCACACUGAAAAAGAAAGGAAAAAGAUGAGGUGUGGUGUUUGGAGAAGGAGACGGAUGUCUGUAGGAUCAAUUCUGAUAGUGUGUGCAUUGUGUGCUGGAAUGGGGCUGUUGAUGCUCAACUUUAGACAAGUUGAUCCUCCAAUGAGCCCCGAUUUCCCUAUGCAAAUUCACAAUUUGGUUUCGGAAUCUGAAAGCGGUGGUAGGGUUGGGGUUAAGGACGAGCCUGAGAACAAGAGUAAGAGAAAAUCCAACUCCUGUGCUACGGUGGAAGAGAUGGGAAAGGACUUCAAAGGAGGGUUCUAGGAGGAAAGUCUCAGAGUCAGGAAACUUAUUCAGCAUCACUUUGACUUGAAUGGCAUUUUUCUACUCUCAUUUUCUUCAGGCUGAUUGUUAGUGUUACAUGUGCUUCCCAUGUCCGAAAUCUUCAUCCGGAACAGUUUUGUCACCAUGGCUUUGUGAUGGGUAAAGCAUCAGAGGCAGGUUUCGGGAAUGAAUUGUACAAAAUUUUAAGUGGUGCAGCAUUGAGUAUACUUUUAAACGGGUCCCUGAUCAUUGGGCAAACCAGGCAUAUUGGGGAAAAUUCUCUUUCGGGGAUUACAUUUCUUAUUCCAAUGUUUUCUUUUCCAUGAGAGAAAUUAAGCAGUAUCAAUGAAAUGCGUUCGAGAUUUCCUGUCAAUCAUGAGAUUAAUUUGAAGAUAUAUCUGUGGAGGGCAACCCGUGGAAUCUCGAAGUUGAUGCUGUUGUCAAUUCGACGAAUGAGAACAUGGAUGAAGCACAAUGCAUCACUGGCUUGCAUGCUGCAGCCGGACCUGGUCUUGCAGAAGAAUGUGCUGCACUGAUGCUGAUAUUUCUGUACUCAAGAGUGGAAGAAGAAGAAGUGAAGAAGGGUAGUGUUGGUGCAUAGUAUUAUUAUUCUAAAGGAUUGCAUAAUUUGGUCGCUAAAGAAAAAAUGUUGCAAGGUCGGUCACUCAGUCAGUACUUUCUGAUCACCACACCCACAUCCUGGCUUGACUGAACUGAUCCUCCACCUCCUGAACUUCCCAAGUACCACAUGUACUGUUAGAGUUUGUAUAGGAAAAACACCUUUGUCCCACAUUGGAGAGAGGCACUCUCACUCUCCUUGUGUGGUUUAUUAGGCAGCAAGAGGACUAUAUGAUUUCUUUGCACGGUGAUUAUUGUCAAUUCCCAGAAUAGUGACAAUGCAUAUGCAAAUAAAAGAACAAUAAAAUCUAUGAUUUCCUUGCACGGUGAUGUUGAUUGCUACCUAAUUUGCAUCAAAAGAAUUAAUAUAACCAUCCCAUGUCACUUAGGCAGAUGCAAGGGUUGCUUGUGAUAUCCAUGUUCUAGCCAAGUCAAAAUCAAGAGUAAAUUGAAAAACACCUUUGGGAGUUUGUAGAUCAAGUGAUUGAGAAUAUUUAUUCAUGCAACUGAAGUCUUAUAUUCGAUUUCCUCAAUAUCACCAGCGUUUUAGAAAGAAAAAAAAAGAGGAAUCAUAGAUGUUCCAACUCUGAAGAGAUGUAAGGCUUUUGACAUAGAAGAAUAACAGCUAGGUUGUCAUAUAUUUAAGUAAAAGCAUGGACAUGACAUCAAUAUAUUAUGUACAAAGAUGAAUUAUAAAAUAAAUAAAAAACAAAAAUCAGCUUUGUGCA